rnacentral:rRNA from 1 species
UACGGGGGGAGCAAGCGUUGUUCGGAUUUACUGGGCGUAAAGGGCGCGUAGGCGGCCACCGCAAGUCGACUGUGAAAUCUCCGGGCUUAACCCGGAAAGGUCAGCCGAUACUGCGGGGCUAGAGUGCAGAAGGGGCAACUGGAAUUCUCGGUGUAGCGGUGAAAUGCGUAGAUAUCGAGAGGAACACCUGCGGCGAAGGCAGCUCGCUGGGACGUUACUGACGCUGAGACGCGAAAGCGUGGGGAGCAAACAGG